rnacentral:rRNA from 1 species
UACGUAGGGUGCGAGCGUUAAUCGGAAUUACUGGGCGUAAAGCGUGCGCAGGCGGUUCGUUGUGUCGGCGGUGAAAGCCCCGGUCUCAACCUGGGAAUGGCCGUUGAAACUGGCGAACUGGAGUGUGGCAGAGGGGGGUGGAAUUCCGCGUGUAGCAGUGAAAUGCGUAGAUAUGCGGAGGAACACCGAUGGCGAAGGCAAUCCCCUGGGCCUGCACUGACGCUCAUGCACGAAAGCGUGGGGAGCAAACAGG